AUUGAACGCUGGCGGCAGGCUUAACACAUGCAAGUCGAGCGGAGAUGAGGUGCUUGCACCUUAUCUUAGCGGCGGACGGGUGAGUAAUGCCUAGGAAUCUGCCUGGUAGUGGGGGACAACGUUUCGAAAGGAACGCUAAUACCGCAUACGUCCUACGGGAGAAAGUGGGGGAUCUUCGGACCUCACGCUAUCAGAUGAGCCUAGGUACGAUUAGCUAGUUGGUGAGGUAAAGGCUCACCAAGGCGACGAUCGUUAACUGGUCUGAGAGGAUGAUCAGCCACACUGGGACUGAGACACGGCCCAGACUCCUACGGGAGGCAGCAGUGGGGAAUAUUGGACAAUGGGCGGAAGCCUGAUCCAGCCAUGCCGCGUGUGUGAAGAAGGCCUUUUGGUUGUAAAGCACUUUAAGCGAGGAGGAGGCUACUUAGAUUAAUACUCUAGGAUAGUGGACGUUACUCGCAGAAUAAGCACCGGCUAACUCUGUGCCAGCCGCCGCUGUAAAAC
rnacentral:rRNA from 1 species